AUACAGAGGGUGCGAGCGUUAAUCGGAAUUACGGGGCGUAAAGCGCGCGUAGGCGGCUUGGUCAGUCGGAUGUGAAAGCCCCGGGCUUAACCUGGGAAUUGCAUUCGAUACUGGCAAGCUAGAGUAUAGUAGAGGCAAGUGGAAUUCCGGGUGUAGCGGUGAAAUGCGUAGAUAUCCGGAGGAACAUCAGUGGCGAAGGCGACUUGCUGGACUAAUACUGACGCUGAGGAGCGAAAGCGUGGGGAGCAAACGGGAUUAGAUACCCCAGUAGUCC
rnacentral:rRNA from 1 species